CCUUACCUGGUCUGUAGGCUCUCUCUCAUUUGCCUCACUUACCUGAUCUAUAGUCUACCACCAUCCCUCACUUACCUGAUCUGUAGGCUGUCUCUGCAGUAGCUGGCUGCAUGUGUUGCUCCCCUGCGGAUUCAGUCAGGAGAGAGAAGAAGGGAUAAAAUGUAGCUUCGUAUCCCUGUCUCUCUCUUCAUACACAGUAUUGCACUGUAUUUUCAAUCUCACACGAAAAAUAGCAGAACAAGCUGAAAACUCCAGGGACGCCCAUGCUUAAAGGAUUUAACUUGGAAUUCAAUUGUCUUAAGUGAGUUUGGAGCACAUCUAAACUCUAUUAGCUGUACCAAACUGUUACGAAGAUAUCAACUAAAGGAAGAAGUUAGUCUUCGUGGAGGUCAGAUGAUUGCUGGUAUAUAGGUUUCAUGAUGGUAUCAGAAGUGGAAUGCCUCGGCUUUCAGUGGCAAGCAACAUUUAAAGGAACACUCCAGGUACCACAAUAGCUUCAUCUAAAUUACGUUAUGGUGCCAGGAAGUCCGUGGAGGCAUUCUUACCUCAAGUUGCUGUCAGCUGUCUCCUCCCGUCCCCCUCCCGUCCCCCUCCCCCAUAUGCUGCAUCCACGCAUCCGAC